rnacentral:rRNA from 1 species
AUCAGGUAGAUAGGGCCUAAGUGUAAGCGUAGUGAUACGUUCAGCGGAAGGUUACUAAUAGGUCGAAGGCUUGUCCU